rnacentral:misc_RNA from 1 species
CUUGAUUUAGAGGAAGUAAAUGUCGUAACAAGGUUUUCGUACGUGAACCUGCGGAAGGAUCAUUAACACGUAUCCAAACGUUAAAACCUCCCCCGUGAACAUUCAUCCUGCUCUUGUAACCCGCGAAGCUUGCAAUCCCUGGUACAUAAUAUGUAGCGUUGAUUCAGAGACAGCAGCCAGUGUCUGAAAGUGUGAUUGAUUGUGCAAGGAUAACGCUUCACGAUGCUUGUAGACCGCAUCUCGCGGGCAGGAGCUAGGCCGAAGGGUCCCCAUGCCCCAUUACAAACCCAAAGUAUAAUGUGAAGCCAAUGUAAUAACCGAACAACUGUGAACAAUGGAUAUCUUACUUUUC